rnacentral:rRNA from 1 species
GGCUUAGGAUGAACGCUAGCGACAGGCUUAACACAUGCAAGUCGAGGGGUAACAGGGUAGCAAUACCGCUGACGACCGGCGCACGGGUGAGUAACGCGUAUGCAACCUGCCUAGUAACUGGGGGAAUAGCUCCCUGAAAGGGGAAUUAACACCGCAUAACACUAUUGAUUCGCAUGGAUUAGUAGUUAAAUGUAGCGAUACAGGUUAUAGAUGGGCAUGCGUGACAUUAGCUAGUUGGUGAGGUAACGGCUCACCAAGGCUACGAUGUCUAGGGGUUCUGAGAGGAAGGUCCCCCCACACUGGUACUGAGACACGGACCAGACUCCUACGGGAGGCAGCAGUGAGGAAUAUUGGUCAAUGGGCGCAAGCCUGAACCAGCCAUGUCGCGUGCAGGAAGACUCGCCCUAUGGGUUGUAAACUGCUUUUAUAGUAGAAGAAACACAUCUACGUGUAGAUGUCUGCCAGUAUACUAUGAAUAAGCAUCGGCUAACUCCGUGCCAGCAGCCGC